rnacentral:lncRNA from 1 species
CAACCGUGAAGCACGGGUGUGGCAGCAGCAUGUUGUGGGGGUGCUUUGCUGCAGGAGGGACUGGUGCACUUCAUAAAAUAGAUGGCAUCAUGAGGGAGGAAAAUUAUGUGGAUAUAUUGAAGCAACAUCUCAAGACAUCAGUCAGGAAGUGAAAUGGAUCUUCCAAAUGGACAAUGACCCCAAGCAUACUUCCAAAGUUGUGGCAAAAUGGCUUAAGGACAACAAAGUCAAGGGUGAGAGCGGACCAAGGCGUGGAGAAUAUGGACAUCGCAGAUGCUUGUUUCAUGUCCGAGGUUGUGGCAGGGGAAGCUUUAUCUCUGGCAAAAGUGUUCACAAUCAACGGAUUGAACGGUUAUGGCGGGACGUGUGGAUGGCCGUGUCACACAUCUUUUACGAUGUCCUACAUAGUUUUGAAGGAUUUAAACAACUUAGACGGGUACGAUGCCUG